rnacentral:rRNA from 1 species
AGAACGAACGCUGGCGGCAUGCCUAAUACAUGCAAGUCGAACGAACACUUCGGUGUUAGUGGCGCACGGGUGCGUAACGCGUGGGAAUCUGCCCUUGGGUUCGGAAUAACAGUUGGAAACGGCUGCUAAUACCGGAUGAUGACGAAAGUCCAAAGAUUUAUCGCCCAGGGAUGAGCCCGCGUAGGAUUAGCUAGUUGGUGAGGUAAGGCUCACCAAGGCGACGAUCUGUAGCUGGUUUGAGAGGACGACCAGCCACACUGGGACUGAGACACGGCCCAGACUCCUACGGGAGGCAGCAGUGGGGAAUUUGGACAAUGGGGGAAACCCUGGAUCCAGCCAUCCCGCGUGUGCGAUGAAGGCCUU